UUGUUGGGCUCGACGAGCUUAACGCAAGUGUAAAUUAAAAUUCCAAAAUCCAAAAGAGACUGGAUCUUGCAGCGCAGCGGUAGCGAUAAAAAAAAUUAACACCAAUAUUUAACGUGAAAAACCCUCUAAUACCGAGGGAAAAACCACGGGACAAACUCCGAAAAAUAUUCCACUAUAUUAAAGAAUAUUACAAUAUUCUCUCCACUCUCUCACACACACAAGAGAUACAAUAUAGUGUUUCCCGUGAGACCUACUUCUAUUCUAAUGCUAUUAUUUUAUAGCACCUAGAAGUUAUAGAGAUGAUACCCACCCGGUGUAUUUUUCCCACACUCUCUGGAUUUACUCAACACUCUAUUUUUCCUCUCACACACUUCUACACACACAGAAGCUUUGUAUUUUCACUUCUGCUUCGAUGCUUUCCUUCAAUUCCAUUGCCUCUAUUUAUAGGGGAAAUGAGCCGUAAGAGUUGGAUUUGGUUCACACACUCUUACACCAAAAGUCAUGACAUUCAGAGUGUGAAACUUGAAAUGAAUUGCAAGCCUUCACACUUUUCUGCACAGCAAGCUAUGCCUAGCCAUGUCUCUCCACCGUAAGCUAUACCAUAGCUUUCCUAUUUGUAGAAAAAUGCAUCCUUGCAUUAAAUAGGUAGAAGACUAUUUACAAUUACUUGUAGUAAUUGUCUUUGGCUGGAAACAAUACCCACACGUGGUGGGGCCAACAAUUCUCCCCCUCCAGCCAAAGGGAGAUAUCAUCGCAAUUCAUUCACCUGCGAUCCAUGCCGAACAACUCGGCACAAAGUUGAAGCUUUUCACGUGCUACAACUUUCGUCAACAUAUUCGCGGGAUUUUUAUCGGUGUGAAUCUUUUCCAACAUAAAUUGUUGUUCUUCCGCUGCUUGACGCAGCCAAUGAUAUCUGACAUCAAUAUGCUUUGUACGAGAGUGGUACAUCGCAUUCUUACUCAAAUCCAAAGCGCUUUGACUAUCGCAAUGGAUAACGUACCUUUCCUGCUUCAUUCCCAAUUGAUCAAGAAAUCUUUUUAGCCAAAGCAUUUCCUUCCCUGCUUCAGCCAUGGCAAUAUAUUCUGCCUCGGUUGUUGAUAAGGCUACACAUUUUUGCAAUUUAGAUUGCCAAGAUACAGCUCCCCCUGCAAAAGUAAACACAAUUCCUGAAGUAGACUUUCUACCAUCCAGGUCACCUGCCAUAUCAGCAUCUGUGUAGGCUUUCAAAAUCGAAUUUGAUCCUCCAAAGCAUAAGCACUUAUUAGAGCUUCCUUUCAGAUACCUCAAGAUCCACUUCACAGCUUCCCAAUGUUCUUUUUCCCGGAUUGGAAAGAAACCUGCUAACAACUCCAACUGCAUGAGCAAUAUCUGGCCUGGUGCAAACCAUUGCAUACAUCAAACUCCCAACUGCUGAGGAGUAAGGUAUUGCAACCAUAGCUUCUUUUUUCAUCUUGACUAGUAGGACAACUCACUCUGCUGAGUUUAAAGUGAUUGGCUAACGGCGUGCUAACUGGUUUAGCACCCUUCAUGUUGAAUCUUUCUAGAACCCGGUCCACAUACUGUUGUUGUGACAACCAUAGCUUUCUAGCUUUUCGGUCUCGCAAAAUCUUCAUGCCUAAGAUUUGCUUUGCAGGGCCUAGAUUUUUCAUGUCAAAGGAUUUUGACAAUUCCUUCUUCAAAUCACCAAUCAUAUCCUCGUCUUGCCCCACUAUCAACAUAUCAUCUACAUAUAACAGAAUGAUGAUGAAUUUGUUACCUCGAAAUGUUUUGACAUAUACACAAUGAUCUGCAUCUGUCUUGGUAUAUUCAUGACUCAUCAUGAACGAGUCAAAUUUCUUAUACCAUUGUCUUGGUGCUUGUUUUAAUCCAUACAAGCUCUUCUUCAAUUUGCAAACCAAGUGCUCCUUUCGAGUCUUCUUAAAUCCUUCUGGUUGAACCAUGUAGAUCUCUUCAUCUAAAUCUCCAUGAAGAAAUGCAGUCUUUACAUCCAUUUGUUCAAGCUCCAAAUCCAAGCUAGCAACUAAUCCGAGUAUAACUCGAAUUGAACUCAUCUUAACAACUGGAGAGAAGAUUUCAUCAAAAUCUAUUCCUCGCUUUUGUCCAAAACCUUUUACGACUAAGCGAGCUUUGUACUUCACUAGCUUGUCACCAUCUUUCUUGAGCUUGAACACCCAUUUAUUCUUCAAGGCUUUUCUGCCUUCAGGAAGUUUCACAAGUUCAUAAGUAUCAUUUUUUCUGCAAUGAAUCCAUCUCUUCUUGCAUUGCUUUCAUCCAUUGGAUUUUAUCCUUAUGAGUUUGAACUUCAUCGAAACUUUCCGGCUCCCCCUCAUCAGUGAUGAGGAUGUACUCCGAACUAGGGUACCUGGUAGAUGGAUGAUGAUCUCUGCUUAAUCUCCUGAGAUGAGAUGUUGUGGAUUGCUCUCCAUCUUGAACAUCUUCAUCAUCACCAUCUUCAACUACUGGCUCACCAUCAACCCCAGGGUCUUCAUCAAGAUCUCCCCCUUCUGUGGCAACUCUUACAGGAGGAGUGGUAAGUGUAAGAUCAACCUUACCAUAACGUUUAGGUGUUUCUAGAAUAGCAGAAUCUGACAUAGUUUCUUGCUUAUGAAACACUACAUCUCUGCUUCUAAUAAUUCUUCUCUUCUCUGGAUCCCAUAACCUGUAGCCAAAUUCCUCAUCUCCAUAGCCCACAAAUAUGCAAGGAAUGGCUUUAUCAUCAAGUUUUUUGUCUAUGCUCCUUAUUUACAUGAGCAAAGGCUUUGCAUCCAAAUACCUUCAGGUGAGAGUAACUUAUAUCAUGUCCGGACCAUACUCUCUCAGGAAUAUCAAAGCCCAAAGGAACAGAUGGAGAUCUGUUAAUCAGGUAGCAUGUGGUUUGAACAGCUUCUCCCCAAAAUGGCUUUGGCAGCUUAGCCAUUUUCAGCAUACAUCUCACUUUCUCCAUAAUGGUUCUGUUGAUUCUUUCAGCUACACCAUUAUGUUGUGGGGUGCCAGGAACCGUCUUCUCAUGUCUGAUGCCGUGCUCAGAACAAUAACUUUUAAAUUCAUGGGAAGUAUAUUCACCCCCAUUAUCCGAACGAAGACACUUCAAAGAUUUACCAGUCGAUCUCUCCACCAUCGCAUGAAACCUUUUGAAGUACUGAAACACCCGAUCCUUACUUUUAAGGAAGUACACCCACACCUUUCUUGAAGCAUCAUCAAUAAAACGUCACAAAAUAUCUGCUACCACCAAGAGUCUCCACUUCCAUGGGUCCACACACAUCAGAAUACACCAUAUCCAAUUUAUUACCUUUCAGCUUUGAAGUUCUGCUGAAAGAAACUCUAUGUUGCUUGCCAAACAAACAAUAAUCACAAGGAUUCAACUUAGUACCUUUGCCAGACGGAAUGAGGGACUUCCUUGACAAAAUUUGCAAUCCUUUUUCACUUAAAUGAGCCAGCCUUUUAUGCCACAAAUCUGGCAAAGCAACAUUCUCGACCGCAUUCAAGCCAUCUUUGAUCAGCUUGACUUGAGUUUUGUAAAGCGUCGAAUACACGGCGCCUCUAGCAAUCAUCAACGAUCCUUUGGUAAGUUUCCAUUUUCCAUCACCAAAGUUGUUUUGAAAUCCGGCUAAAUCAAGAGCAUGGACAGAGAUUAGAUUUAGACGCAAAUCUGGCACAUGUCGCACGUCCUUCAGUGUUAGUGUAAAAUCGGUAUUGGUUUGAACACACACAUCACCAAUUCCAACAAUAUCUGCAAUGCUAUUAUUGCCCAUCUUUACUUUGCCAAAGUCUCCUACUUUGUACAUCGUAAAGAAUUCUUUAUUGGAAGUAGCGUGAUAAGAAGCUGCUGAGUCAAUGACCCAUUAAACACAUGAAUCUGCAAGAUGACAUUCUUCUUCUUCAACAGAAAGCAACACCACUUCCCCAUCAACUACUGGGGUUGUGGUAUUUUCAUCUUCGUCUGGUCUUUGAUUCCUCCGGUCCUUCUUUUCUUUGUUCUUCCAAGAUUUGCAAUUUCUUUUGAUGUGACCUUCUUCGCCGCAGUGAAAACACUUGAACUUUCUUCGAGGUUGAGAUUGUGAUCUGUCUUGGAUUUAUUGGAUCUCCCCCCGCUCUUGCUUCUGCCUCUGUUCUCCGUGACAAGGGCCUGAGAGCUACUUGAUCCCAUGUCUUUUCUUCUUGUUUCUUCAUUGAACAUACUAUCUUUUACCUGGGACAAAGUGAGCGCUCCAUCUGGAGCAGAGUUGCUUAAUGACACCACCAAAGUCUCCCAACUUUCUGGCAAAGAACUCAAAAGUAAUAGUGCUUGUAAUUCAUCAUCCAGCACCAACUUCAUGGCAACCAAUUGGUUUACCAAGUCUUGAAAGUCACUCAAGUGCUCGGCAACUGAUCUUCCCUCCCGAUACUUUAGAUUCACCAACUUUCUAAUAGCGAAAGUUUUGUUUUGUGCGUUCUUUCUUUGAUACAUCUUUUCGAUGUUCUUCCACAGAGUCUGGGCAUUUGUCUCUGUGGCCACAUGGUGGAAUACACUAAGAUCCACCCACUGCCUAAUCAGACUAACAGCCUUCCGAUGAGACUUUUUCCAGUCUUCAUCCGUAACCUUAUCUGGCUUUGUGUCUCCCUUUUCUACAGGAUCAUACAUAUCCUUGUAGUAAAGUAUAUCCUCCAUUUUUUGGCUUCCAAAUGGAGUAGUUUGUAGAAGUGAGUUUAAUCAUCGUACCAGUGUUCUCCUCCAUUUAAUUUACACUAUACUCUCGAGCUCCAAUCGGAGCUCUGAUACCACUUGUUGGGCUCGACGAGCUUAACGCAAGUGUAAAUUAAAAUUCCAAAAUCCAAAAGAGACUGGAUCUUGCAGCGCAGCGGUAGCGAUAAAAAAAAUGAACACCAAUAUUUAACGUGAAAAACCCUCUAAUACCGAGGGAAAAACCACGGGACAAACUCCGAAAAAUAUUCCACUAUAUUAAAGAAUAUUACAAUAUUCUCUCCACUCUCUCACACACACAAGAGAUACAAUAUAGUGUUUCCCGUGAGACCUACUUCUAUUCUAAUGCUAUUAUUUUAUAGCACCUAGAAGUUAUAGAGAUGAUACCCACCCGGUGUAUUUUUCCCACACUCUCUGGAUUUACUCAACACUCUAUUUUUCCUCUCACACACUUCUACACACACAGAAGCUUUGUAUUUUCACUUCUGCUUCGAUGCUUUCCUUCAAUUCCAUUGCCUCUAUUUAUAGGGGAAAUGAGCCGUAAGAGUUGGAUUUGGUUCACACACUCUUACACCAAAAGUCAUGACAUUCAGAGUGUGAAACUUGAAAUGAAUUGCAAGCCUUCACACUUUUCUGCACAGCAAGCUAUGCCUAGCCAUGUCUCUCCACCGUAAGCUAUACCAUAGCUUUCCUAUUUGUAGAAAAAUGCAUCCUUGCAUUAAAUAGGUAGAAGACUAUUUACAAUUACUUGUAGUAAUUGUCUUUGGCUGGAAACAAUACCC
rnacentral:lncRNA from 1 species